UGCCAGCAGCCGCGGUAACCCCAGCGCCACGAGUGGCAAUCAGUAUUAUUGGGUCUAAAGCGUCCGUAGCCUGUAUAGUAAAUCCGCUGUGAAAUCGUGAAGCUUAACUUCACGGCGUGCAUUGGACACUGCUAUACUUGGGACCGGGAGGAGUCAGAGGUAUUCCGGGGGGAGCGGUAAAAUGCGAUAAUCCUCGGAGGACCACCGAUGGCGAAGGCAUCUGACCAGAACGGAUCCGACGGUGAGGGACGAAAGCCAGGGGAGCGAACCGGAUUAGAUA
rnacentral:rRNA from 1 species